rnacentral:tmRNA from 1 species
GGGGGCGACCUGGCUUCGACGUGGGUAGCGAAACCCGAGGUGCAUGCCGAGCUGCAAUCAACUCGUGAAACUGACUGCAAAACUUUAGUUGCCAACGACGACAACUACGCACUAGCAGCUUAAACACCUGCAUAGCGCCUUCCGCCCGGUUCGUGCCCAUACGUCCGGAUCACGGGAGUCACCCGAUAUGGGAUCGCGAUGAAGCGCGCCUGGCGCGGAUUCGUUAAAACCUUACAGGCUCGUUACAGGUCUUCCCUGCCCCUCGGGUAGCCUGCAAUUAAAUCAAUAGACGGGAUAAGCAUGUAGAGCCAAAGGCGGAGUGCUUGCGGACGCGGGUUCGAUUAACGCA